rnacentral:lncRNA from 1 species
GAUGCACACACAUGUUCCCCCAUAUUGUGUUAAAGUUGUUUUUUUUUUUUUAUGAAGUUAAUAUAUGGAAAGCAAGACACACUUCAAAUGGUGUCGUCACCUUGAAUUAAAUAAUUUAUCAUGGUUAUCCUUCACCUUUUAACAGCAAAAACAGAAGCUGCUGAGCCAAUUUAUGGAACCCCGCGAGAAUUCAGUCCAAGCAUAGAUCAGUGUGAGUUACAUACAUUGUGUUUGUGAUUAAACUCUGGGAAAGUUCUUUGAAAUAUAAUAAUUUUUUCCCCCCAGUAACAAAGUCUCGAGUAGCAGACCAAGGCAAAAAGUUCCGUCAGGACAAUAAAAAGAUGAGCAGCUCAGAAGGAGAUGGCCUGGACCUGUCUUUUGAGGAAGUGUUAGUCGGUCGAGUCAAUUCUAUCGAGAGAUUUGUUAUCGAGCAUCUCUCUGAUGUGAUGGAAACACACAGAGACCUCCAGGAAACAGUAAAUAGCACAACGAUGAUCAGUGACAUGGCUGCAAUGACAAGACCGAGCUCAGCGCCUUAAAAAAAAAAAAUAAUAAUAUAUAUAUAUAUAUAUCACACGUAGCAGAGCAAGGCCAAGAGAUAGAGGAGCUGAGAAAGCAGCUGGAAGGAAAGGGCAGCGGUGCUCCUGCACACUCAGGAGGCCAGAAGAGACCAGCUUCCUCGGCCGAGUGUGCUCCUGAACGGAAGCAGAGACGGUCCGAAGAGCUGGACGAGAUCCUGGAGCCAUUCUGGCCAGAGAGAUCAGAUGCACGGGAGAGGCUGACUGAAAGGCAGCAGGCCUUCUUCAACUAUAUGAUGGACGUGCUGAAAAUCAAAGAUCGGAGAAACCUGGAGACGAACGCGACGACGGUCCUCAACGAAGGGGUUUCCAGGGGCCUCUGGGAGGAGGACUGGACUCCUGCAGAAAUUAAAGGGACAUUCCAGCAAUACCUUGUAGGAAAAAUAAAAAAAUAUGUGACAGAGAGACAAAAGAAACUCUUCCAGGAGAGAGAGCUAGAUAGGCUCAGAAAAAUGGUUGGCUAGGAAGAAGAGGGUCUGUUCAGUUGGCUUUAUUUUUAAGUUUUUGUGCAUGUUGUUUAUUGUGUUCAUUGUAGAGUUUUCAAGUCUAAAAAGCGUCACAGCAUAGUAGUAUAGCACCACACAACACAACGAUACACAGUUAUAGCCACAUUCUCUAUAUAUUUAUGUGUAAGUUUAUUUUAUUAAUUUUAUUUACCUGUGACAUUUUAUUUUAUUGUUGAUGUUCCUUCCAGUCUGUUUUGGUCAUUUCUUUUAAACAUUAAACAGUUUUUGUAUCAAUAUCUGUGUCAAACUGUGUGCGUGUUUUCCCCCAAAUUGCACUACUGUUCAAUAAUUCGUGCCAUAUACAUAUAGUU